GCCCUGUGGUUGCUGGACACUGCUGUGCUGUGCAGUGCUUCAGUUGGAGGAUGGGCCCACAGUGACUCUGUGGCAACGCAGGGAGGCUGUGAGCCCUGAGCAGCCUCCUCAGCCCUGCCUCAGGCACACCC
ensembl:snoRNA SNORA84 small nucleolar RNA, H/ACA box 84